rnacentral:tRNA from 3 species
GCCCUCGUGGCGGAAUUGGCAGACGCGCAGCAUUCAGGAUGCUGUGAGCUUUACGCUCGUAGAGGUUCAAGUCCUCUCGAGGGCA